UUUGAAGGAGGUGAAAUAAUCCCCAUGGA
rnacentral:piRNA from 1 species